CUUUACAAACAAAAUCCCGAAGUUAACAAACAAAAUUAGGAAGCUGUGUUUGUAAUAAAAAUGUGAAGGAAAACCAUGUUCUAAUUAAUAUCUGAUUAAUAUUUAUCCUUUAAUCGACUAAAUAUGUAUUAAAUUGAAACCAUUAGGAUUGUGGUGAUGGUUGCGACGUGGCAACGAGAGGAGUUGGUGAAAUCGAAGCAUGUGGUGAUGUUGAAGUUGAAGAAGGUUUGAAUGUGGUUAACUCUGAUAUUCUGAAGGCUAAGAAAGGUAAGAUGCCGGUGGUUUGUUCGGAAGUUGGAGAUGCAGAAGUUGGAGUAAAUGGUGUUGUUGUUGAUGAAGGCAGUGUGAAUCAAGUAAACAUGAUGCUUCGCCGCCAGGAUGAUGUUGCUAAUGGAUCUCGUCUUCAAAGGUGGAUUUGACACUACUCAUGCUGCAGCAAGAUAAAUUUCAUAUUUGGUUAUUAUUUAUUUAUUAAAUUAUUAUUUUCUUGAGCAUAUGAAAUGUUUUUCGUUGAUUUUUGUUUUUCGAGCUGCAAUCAAGUUUUGUGGUGUUGAUGUGGAUAUCAAUUUCAACUUUAGUGAUUAUGAUGAUGAUAUAAAGCAGAUGAGUAACUUUACGAAGGAAGAGUUUGUGCAUAUUUUGCGUAGACAGAGCACUGGUUUCUCAAGAGGAAGCUCCAAAUAUAGGGGAGUUACUUUGCAUAAAUGUGGGCGAUGGGAAGCUUGUAUGGGACAGUAUCUUGGGAAAAAAUAUAUAUCUUGGGAUAUUUGAUAGCGAACUAGGCGCAGUAAGAGCGUAUGAUAAGGCUACUAUAAAAUGCAAUGGAAGGGAAGCAGUUACUAAUUUUGAGGCCAUCUCUUAUGAAGGGGAGUUAAUUUCCCAUGCAAUGGAAGUGAAGCAGUUACUAAUUUUGAGGCCAGCUCUUAUGAAGGGGAGUUAAUUUCCCAGUCUGAUAACAAAGGUAUUUCAUUCAGCUUUGUGAUGGCUUCUUGGGCGCUAAUGCGUUAAAUUGUUGUGUUGAUUUCGUGUUUGCAACAGAUAAUGAAAUCUUUGGCCAGUGACGGUGAAUAAUAGUAACCAUUCAAGUGAUUUGGUUGUGUUAAUUCAUAUAAAUCUUUUUGUGUUAAUCCUUAUUAUUAAUAUUAUUACUAUCUUUUAUGUAUACUCAAACUUGUGAUUUGUUUGUGUUUUCAUGUUAAGUAUAAUGUAUUAUCAACAUAGUUGAUGCCAUCAUGUGACUCCUUGGGUCGAGGCAUGUUCAAAUCGAUUAUGUCUAUAAUUACAUUAGUGUUUUGGUUUUACUUAUUUGUUGUGGCAAUAUACAAUUCAAUUGAUA